GAAGUAAAAGUCGUAACAAGGUUUCCGUAGGUGAACCUGCGGAAGGAUCAUUACAGAGUUCAUGCCCUCACGGGUAGAUCUCCCACCCUUGUGUAUAUAACUAUCUGUUGCUUUGGCGGGUCGCGAGUUCGCUCGCCCUGUGUACCCGCCAGAGGACCAUCAAAUUCUGAAUAUUAGUGUCGUCUGAGUACUAUAUAAUAGUUAAAACUUUCAACAACGGAUCUCUUGGUUCUGGCAUCGAUGAAGAACGCAGCGAAAUGCGAUAAGUAAUGUGAAUUGCAGAAUUCAGUGAAUCAUCGAAUCUUUGAACGCACAUUGCGCCCCUUGGUAUUCCGGGGGGCAUGCCUGUUCGAGCGUCAUUAUGACCAAUCCAGCUUGCUGGGUCUUGGGCUCCGCCUCCCUGGCGGGCCUUAAACACAGUGGCGGUGCUCUCAAGCUCUACGCGUAGUAAUUAUUCUCGCGAUUGGGUCUUGAGAGAUACUGGCCAGCAACCCCCAACUUCUUAGGUUGACCUCGGAUCAGGUAGGGAUACCCGCUGAACUUAAGCAUAU
rnacentral:rRNA from 1 species